GGGGGCGAACGGGUUCGACAGGGCUGGUUCGACUUUCGGUUGCGAGCCGAGGCGCCGUUGGCCUCGUUAAAAGCGGCAAAAAAAGUAAUUGCGAAUAACAACUACGCCUACGCGGCCUAAUCUCCGCGUGGUCCACCACUUCCAAGCCGGUCGGGAGUGUCAUGGGCCUAAGAAAAUCCGGAUCGUUUAGGGAGCUUCUGUUCGUAGCGACCUCGACUAGAUAAAUCGAGCUGGACGACCGCCCAGGUGGCCCCGACAGAGGGCGGCGUCGAGAUAAAGUACAGGGGAGACGCUCGUGGUUAAUUGAAGGGCCGACAGUUUUGGAAGGGAGUUCAAUUCUCCCCGCCUCCACCA
rnacentral:tmRNA from 1 species